UCUGUCCUACGGGGCGCAGCAGUGAGGAAUAUUGGUCAAUGGGCGGGAGCCUGAACCAGCCAAGUCGCGUGAGGGAUGACGGCCCUAUGGGUUGUAAACCUCUUUUGCCGGGGAGCAAAGUGCCGCACGUGUGCGGUUUGGAGAGUACCCGGAGAAAAAGCAUCGGCUAACUCCGUGCCAGCAGCCGCGGUAAUACGGAGGAUGCGAGCGUUAUCCGGAUUUAUUGGGUUUAAAGGGUGCGCAGGCGGUCUGUUAAGUCAGCGGUCAAAGCCCGGGGCUCAACCCCGGCCCGCCGUUGAAACUGG
rnacentral:rRNA from 1 species